rnacentral:rRNA from 1 species
AUGUCCGCAUCGUCGUGUUCCUCCCUUCCCGUGCGAACAGACUUUCUCCUUCCUUUAAUCUCCCGUCCAUUCUGCUGGAGACGAACGUCGCCACGACAGGCGACAAGUCGGGGCAUCGUUUCUACAAAUGCCAUGGAUCCUACAGGUACGGCAGUGCCAUCCAGCAGGCGUACUUCAGAAAGGCUCAAUCCGCAACAGGUUGCCCGUGCUUACCAGCAGUCUGGCGUGCACCAAGCCAUGCAGGUGCUCGCUGCUCCAAUUCUGCACCAUGCGCAGCAGGGCAACCAUGCUGGGCAGUUAGCUCCUCUUAAGCAGCAGCAGAUCCAGACACCACCGCCGACGCAGUUUGAGCUCCUCAACAAACUCCGCAGACCGGUAGCUGCCGUCGCCGCUGCAUUUGGGUCCCAAGCGCUCGGCCUAGUAGCUAUUCUGCUUGCAGCCAAUAACAUCAUGCUAACUGUGCUUGUUUUGCUUUUCCUUGUCCCAGUGUACUUUGCUUCGUCCAAUUAG